AGCGGGGCUAACUUGCCAGGGUAUCGAACUGGAUACGAAUAACCCAGAGUUCGUAGGUUCGAAUCCUGCCCCCGCUACCA
rnacentral:tRNA from 1 species